GACGAACGCUGGCGGCGUGCUUAACACAUGCAAGUCGAACGGAAAGGCCCUGCUUUUGUGGGGUGCUCGAGUGGCGAACGGGUGAGUAACACGUGAGUAACCUGCCCUUGACUUUGGGAUAACUUCAGGAAACUGGGGCUAAUACCGGAUAGGAGCUCCUGCUGCAUGUUGGGGGUUGGAAAGUUUCGGCGGUUGGGGAUGGACUCGCGGCUUAUCAGCUUGUUGAGGGGGUAGUGGCUUACCAAGGCUUUGACGGGUAGCCGGCCUGAGAGGGUGACCGGCCACAUUGGGACUGAGAGACGGCCCAGACUCCUACGGGAGGCAGAAGUGGGGAAUAUUGCACAAUGGGCGGAAGCCUGAUGCAGCAACGCCGCGUGCGGGAUGACGGCCUUCGGGUUGUAAACCGCUUUCGCCUGUGACGAAGCGUGAGUGACGGUAAUGGGUAAAGAAGCACCGGCUAACUACGUG
rnacentral:rRNA from 1 species